rnacentral:rRNA from 1 species
UACGGGGGGUGCGAGCGUUGUCCGGAAUCACUGGGCGUAAAGGGCGCGUAGGUGGUCUUGUAAGUCUGUGGUGAAAGCCCGGGGCUCAACCCCGGGUCUGCCAUGGAUACUGCGAGACUAGAGUGCUGUAGAGGCUGGUAGAAUGCCGGGUGUAGCGGUGGAAUGCGUAGAGAUCCGGCAGAAGACCGGUGGCGAAGGCGGCCAGCUGGGCAGCAACUGACACUGAGGCGCGACAGCGUGGGGAGCAAACAGGG